GAAGCUCAGUGGUAGAGCCUCUGCUUUGCACACAGAAGGCUCCAGGUUCAACCCCGGCAUCUCCA